CGUGUCGUGAGAUGUCAGGUUAAGUCCUGUAACGAGCGCAACCCUCGUCGUUAGUUAUACGUGUCUAACGAGACCGCCCGUGAUAAGCGGGAGGAAGGUGAGGAUGACGUCAAGUCAGCAUGGCCUUUAUAUCCUGGGCUACACACACGCUACAAUGGCCAGUACAAUGGGCAGCCAAGCCGCGAGGCGGAGCCAAUCCCGUAAAGCUGGUCUCAGUUCGGAUUGCAGGCUGCAACUCGCCUGCAUGAAGUCGGAGUUGCUAGUAACCGCGCGUCAGCCAUAGUGCGGUGAAUACGUUCCCGGGGAUU
rnacentral:rRNA from 1 species